rnacentral:misc_RNA from 1 species
AUUCAUUUUACCAUCUUCCACCUGAACUCAAAGAAGAUAUUGAUAUCAAUUUAAAUUUUACUGAUUUUAGUCUUAUAAUAGAUUUAAAUGAAUCUUAAUAACAAGUAUAUUUAAAGCAAAUUAAAUGUUGUGUUUCUAAAAAGAAAUCUUUUUCUUUUUCUUAGCCUAUUUUAUUUAUAUUUGAGUUACUGAAAGGAUGGAAAAUCACUUAAUAAUAAUAAUAAUAAUACCUGUCUAUUAAAUCAAAUUAUAAUAUUGAUUUUUCUUGCCUUUGACUGCUUUUGUAUAUCAGAUUUUAAAAAAGCUAAUGAGAUGUUAUUUUGACAGGAUUUCAAAUAUUUAAUGAAUUUUGUGAAUCUUAAAUAUUCAUACUGAAUGCAAGAUAUAUAUAAGAUACAGUAUAUGUAUAUACUGUAAUGUAUAUUUUGCUGGUCCAUUUAUUUUUAUCCGAGCGUCAUUAAGCAGUAUAAAUUUUGAACAGCUGGUUGACAUGUCAGUUCAUUACAAAUACAUGUAAAAACCCAUGUGUUGAUGUUAAUGCAUGUUAAUACUGGGCCUUGUUAUUUAAAAGAAUGAUUUAUUUGCUGUUGUACAGUGUAUGAAUAAAACGCAUAGAUGU